rnacentral:tRNA from 1 species
AUUUCUAUAGUGUAAAAUAACACAUAACUUUUUCAAAGUUACAAUGCAUAAAAGCUAGAAUUA